rnacentral:rRNA from 1 species
AUACGGAGGAUCCGAGCGUUAUCCGGAUUUAUUGGGUUUAAAGGGUGCGCAGGCGGCCAUUUAAGUCAGCGGUUAAAUCGUGGGGCUCAACCCCAUUCUGCCGUUGAUACUGGGUGGCUUGAUUGCGGUCGAGGUUGGCGGAAUUCGUUGUGUAGCGGUGAAAUGCAUAGAUAUGACGAAGAACACCGAUUGCGUAGGCAGCUGACCAGCCCGUAAAUGACGCUCAUGCACGAAAGUGCGGGGAUCGAACAGGAUUAGAUACCCUGGUAGUCCACGCAGUAAACGAUGAUGACUAACCGUCGGCGAUAGACCGCCGGUGGCCAAGCGAAAGCGAUAAGUCAUCCACCUGGGGAGUACGACCGCAAGGUUGAAACUCAAAUGAAUUGGCGGGG